rnacentral:tRNA from 1 species
GUACUAGUAGUUCAGAAGCCAAGAACGCCGGUCUUGUAAACCGGAGGCCGGGAGUUGAAGCCUCCCCUUGUACU